rnacentral:misc_RNA from 1 species
GAUGAAGAACGUAGCGAAAUGCGAUAAGUAAUGCGAAUUGCAGAAUUCAGUGAAUCAUCGAAUCUUUGAACGCACAUUGCGCCCUUUGGUAUUCCUUAGGGCAUGCCUGUUCGAGCGUCAUUUAAACCUUCAAGCUAAGCUUGGUGUUGGGUGACUGUCCGCUUCACGGCGGACUCGCCUCAAAAUUAUUGGCGGCCGGUACAUUGGCUUCGAGCGCAGCAGAAACGCGAACUCGGGCCCGUCGUAUUGGCUCCCAGAAGCUAUCUUCACAAUUUUGACCUCGGAUCAGGUAGGGAUACCCGCUGAACUUAAGCAUAUCAAUAAGCGGAGGA